AUGAGGAUGACACAUAGAGCUUGUGCUGCAAGGUAUCAACAAUUAGAAUUGUUGGGCGCUGAUGACCCUGGAUCCGGGAGGACGAUUGGUUGUCUACUUAAGGAGAAGGCCAUCAGUGAUAAAAAGAGAGGUAGUGCUUGCCCACAACCUAUCAUCUUGAAGGAGAAACCAGAUAAGUGCAGAAACAAGAAAAGUUGCGCUAUAGGAAGGCGUCCGCAAGUGCUUGAUGGGUGGCUCUCAGUGUGUUUCCCUAUCAUCAUGGGUGUGCUUGUGUCUGUUGCCUUUGACGAUGUCUUUUUGCAAAAGUUCUGCCUCCAUUUCAAAAUAAAAUAA
rnacentral:rRNA from 1 species